UCCCAGGUGACUCAGUGGUAAAGAAUCUGCCUGCCAAGCAGGAGACACAGAAGACUUAGGUUCAAUCCCUGAUUGGGAU
rnacentral:tRNA from 1 species